rnacentral:misc_RNA from 1 species
GAUGAAGAACGUAGCGAAAUGCGAUACGUAAUGUGAAUUGCAGAAUUCAGUGAAUCAUCGAAUCUUUGAACGCACAUUGCGCCCGCUGGUAUUCCGGCGGGCAUGCCUGUUCGAGCGUCAUUUCAACCCUCAAGCCCCCGGGUUUGGUGUUGGGGAUCGGCUCUGCCCUUCUGGGCGGUGCCGCCCCCGAAAUACAUUGGCGGUCUCGCUGCAGCCUCCAUUGCGUAGUAGCUAACACCUCGCAACUGGAACGCGGCGCGGCCAUGCCGUAAAACCCCAACUUCUGAAUGUUGACCUCGGAUCAGGUAGGAAUACCCGCUGAACUUAAGCAUAUCAAUAAGAGGAGGA